AUUGAACGCUGGCGGCAUGCCUUACACAUGCAAGUCGAACGGUAACGGGUCCUUCGGGAUGCCGACGAGUGGCGAACGGGUGAGUAAUAUAUCGGAACGUGCCCAGUAGUGGGGGAUAACUGCUCGAAAGAGCAGCUAAUACCGCAUACGACCUGAGGGUGAAAGGGGGGGAUCGCAAGACCUAUCGCUAUUGGAGCGGCCGAUAUCAGAUUAGCUAGUUGGUGGGGUAAAGACCUACCAAGGCAACGAUCUGUAGUUGGUCUGAGAGGACGACCAGCCACACUGGGACUGAGACACGGCCCAGACUCCUACGGGAGGCAGCAGUGGGGAAUUUUGGACAAUGGGCGCAAGCCUGAUCCAGCAAUGCCGCGUGCAGGAAGAAGGCCUUCGGGUUGUAAACUGCUUUUGUCAGGGAAGAAAUCUUCUGGGCUAAUACCCCGGGAGGAUGACGGUACCUGAAGAAUAAGCACCGGCUAACUUCGUGCCAGCCGCCGCAGUAA
rnacentral:rRNA from 1 species